AAUUUGUGAUCAAUUUUACCUGAUGGUGACAGCUUGGUGUAUAAGUUAGUGCUAAUGUAUAUUACUGCAUUUCAUUUCUGUGGAGCCUGUCAGCUGAGCAAAGGAGGGAAACUCAGGAUGGAGAACUCCUCCCCCUCCAUCCAUAAGUGGCACACCACUGGCCUCCUGGUGUUAUUAAAGGAAAAUUGGAAAAGUUUCCAGAAGAUUAAGCAGAAAGCUUACAACUUGCACAAGACUCUCAAUUUUCCAGUGGCUCUGACAGAAGGAUAAAUCUUCGGCUGUUUUAACUAAAAUGGACGGUCAAGUUGGUAUCCAUCGUGAAGCUAAAUGAAUAUCUGGACAGGAGUCAGACAAAGGGAAGGAGAAUCCAGGGGAAGAUGAAGCAGCUGCAGGCCUGUCUGCUACCCUAUAUCCGGGGAAGAGCCAGAAAGCCUCCUGGGUCCAGCAUCCCUGUCUUCUUGUCAACUUUUCAAGUAAAGUAAUGCAUUUCAUUACAUUUUGGAUGCCACACCAGUUUAAUCCCAUUGAUAGAGGGCUAUGCAAUC
rnacentral:lncRNA from 10 species